rnacentral:rRNA from 1 species
UACGGAGGGUGCAAGCGUUGUCCGGAAUUAUUGGGCGUAAAGAGCUCGUAGGCGGUCUGUCGCGUCUGCUGUGAAAACUCGGGGCUUAACCCCGGGCCUGCAGUGGGUACGGGCAGACUAGAGUGCGGUAGGGGAGACUGGAAUUCCUGGUGUAGCGGUGAAAUGCGCAGAUAUCAGGAGGAACACCGGUGGCGAAGGCGGGUCUCUGGGCCGUAACUGACGCUGAGGAGCGAAAGCAUGGGGAGCGAACAGG